rnacentral:lncRNA from 1 species
UUUUUUUUUUUUGCAGCUGCCGGCCGUGGGUGAACCCUUUUAUCCCGGUUGGUAUUACCAACCGGGAUAAAAUGGGGUCUUUUGUCCCGGUUGAGUGACCCGGGAUAAAAGACCCCCCCCCCUUUUGUCCCGGUUGGUUUAUCCCGGAUGCAUUUCCGAGAUCUUUGCACCUUACCAACCGGGAUAAUAGGUGAGUUCUCCACCAGUGGAGCUUUUGCCCUUUUACACGGCUACUUGUUAGGAGUAGUAGCUUUAACUUGGCUACAAGGAACAAAUUUGUGUGAUUGCUGCAUAGAACGAUUUUUCGUUUGGAAUCAGCUUCAAAAGUUCCCAUAAGAUUUGUUUAAAUUUCAUCUCUUCUUUUGUUGAGGAUCGUAAAGGUCGCCUUAUAAAUGCAGCAAUAUGUAGGUAAAAGCAUGAGAACCAAUCUAGUAUAAAUAUAAGUCAUGAACUGCAAACAUGAGCAAAAGUUGCAGGAGUAACUCUUUUGGUCACUUAACGAAUGCCUAUAUUUCUUGUUGCUUACAAAAAUAGAAUUUGUUAUGCUUCUACAUCCUUGAUUAAUGCAGCGCCUAAGAUGAUUUUAUUCCACUAUGCCAAAAGAAAUGCGAAUACCUGUCGGUUCAACAAAUUUUGUACGAGAACAUGCGACGUCAGCUAAAAGAAAACCAAAACUAGAGUGUCCAAUGGUAACGGAACUGGCUACACGGUUUAUCUACACUAGCUGGAUCACUAGUUACCUCUGUGCUGAACAAGAAACAUAAGGCCAUCAAGUUUCCGUGUUUAUUUUAGUGGCAUUCACAGUUUCAGCGAUCCCCCUCCACCCAAAAAUCUACAAGAAGCUGCAGACAGUUUGGGCCGAUCGAUGAACAAUUGGUUCAGGGUGUGUGGCACAAAUCAGAACAGAGAACGCAAGAUCUCAGAAGUCAGAAUCAGCCGAUCAGGUUAGAUAGAAGCCAUUCCAUUCCAAGCUUCCAACAGCUGAACAAAACAUAAUUCUGUAGAUGGAUAGAUGGCAGAUUUGACUUAGUCUUGCAUAUAUAGCUGACAACACAGAAGAUUAAUUAGAUACUGUACAAAGACUCCACGAGCUAGCUAGCUAGCUAUCUAAUUGUCACUGGAAAUCAGCUGGUACUAUCCCCAAAAUCAGUUACACGUACAAGUAUAGAACUACUGAACAAAUCCAAGGAAUCGUUGUAGCUAGCUACAAGCGGUGGCCGUCGAAGGAGCCAAGGCCGUCGUCGAAGUUCUGGGAGUAGCUGUGCAAAUCGUAGCCGAACCUCACCGCGGCCUGCCUCGGCCGCGCGGCGCGUCUCCUCCUCCAGGAGGACCUCAGCCUCGACAGCAGCUGCUUCACCGCCGCCGCCGCCGACCGGCCGCUGCUCCUGCUGCCGCUGGCGUAGCUCAGCUGCAGCUGGGUUGCCAUCGCCUCUUGAUCGCUCACACACUUCUCACAAGGUUGUAGCUACCCUCGCAACUAGCUUCCCUCUUUGCUCCGAGCACACGAGCUAUCUCUGCAGCUGGUAGCUUCUGAACUGAAGAUCCUGUGCAGAAGAAACCACCCAUUGUGCAGCUUUUAUAAUAAGCUCGCGGUUGGGGUGUGUCCCGACAGGCGUCAACGUCGCCAGCGGCCAGCGAGACCCAGCCAAGCGGCACGCACGCACUGACUCACUCGCGUACAUGGUGACGAGGAAUCCACUGUGACCGACGGUCAUCGGAAUGGUUCAGGCAAAAGCCGAUUUCAGGCAUCUUUAUUUUUCGGAAUCGCCGUCGUGCAGUCCAUAAGCAUGUGUGCAUUCGGUUUGCUGGUAGGGCUUUAAGAUCAGGUGGCGGUUCGGCGCGGUGUCCUGUUCCAUCAUUCCAUUGCGCGGAGCUGCAUGCACAUGCAUGGACGUGUCGACACGCGCGCAGCGGCGCCGGCGGUGUUGCAUGUCACAUACUCACGUGCAAAAUGCGUUCCACUGCAUAGGUGUGGCCUGCCGAAUCGAUCCCAGAACAUGCAUGCAUGGCUACGAGAUUCGCCCGCUUGCAAUGCAAAGUACUAGUGCUGAACAUACAGGGGAUGUCAUCACAGAUCGGGAAGCCGGUUUUACGAGACCGGUGGUGAUGUCUUCCAUUGAUUCUGGAUCUGAUGCUUCUUUUCACUGCCAGUCCAUAAAUAAGUUCGGUGAUGAAAUUAAAGCAGACCUCCAAAUCCAAAAAUUUUAUCACCUACUCUUUUUUUAUCAACCUGACGUCCGCUCUCUUAUCCUCUCCCGUCCCUCACUCCGUCCCCACCGCCACCCCUUCAUCUCCCACCGUGCGCGUCCCUCACCUCCCCCUGCCACCCCUCCCCUCCGGGCGGCAAGCCCCUCCCCUCUCUCUCCCCCCUCUCUCCUCUCCCUUAUCCACUCCCAGCCCCCCUCCCCGACUCGGUCCUGUCCUCUCUCUCUCCCCCCCUCUCUCUCCCAAUCUCCUCUCUAAUCACCGCCAGGUGGCGGCCGGAGGGUGGGCUGAUUUUUUUGGUCUCUUUUUAAUGAACAUCACCGCUGGGUUCAGCUCCGUUGGUGAGGGGAUGCCGUUGACCCUUUACCAACAACACCCAUAACCGACGGUGAUGUCGUUUUUGGGACCGACGGUGAUAGGAUCUUGUGUAGUAGUGAACUGAUUCUAAACUUUUUGGAUGAUCUUAUCCUUGUACUACUAGCAAAUUAAAUCCGAAAGUAUGUAACUUCACAGUACAUCACGUGUCGAAGUUUGGAACAUGGUCUUUGGAUAACGGAUAGCUUCAAAAAAAAAAAGAUGUCAUCGAGUCAGUCAUGCAUAGGAUCGAGGUGGGAGCAGAUCACAAAGUGUCGCCUCUACCGACUAUACAACCCUAAAGAAAAGAGUAAAGGAAACGCACUAGGGUUUAAAGCAAAAAACUCUAGAUGAGAGGAACAAAAGCUGUUAUUUGCAUGCAAUAGAGUAAUCGGUCUGAUCCGGAUGAUCUGCAGAUCACCGAAAAGGGACGGUCGUUGGCGGCGGCAGCAUGGGGAUGUCGUAUAAAUCAUCUGAUCGAGUCAUCAUGGUCCAAGGAUGAUUGAUAAAAUUCACUGUUGAGGUUUUGCCUUGAUGCUAGUUAUCACUAAUGGCGCCGCUCCCUUUGAUUUCCUUCAACCCGAGAUCAGUGAAGAUUGAAUUUUGAUGAUUUUGACGGGUGAUGCUUCCUACUAAUUAAAGUUCGAUUCCAAUAGUCUUUGUUUUUCCAGGACAAUUGCAUGGAUCUUUUAAGGAAUUUUGUAGGAUUAAUCUCAGUAAUAAGGGAACGCUUUUUUCUUAUGAAGUGAUUUUGAAUAUUUGAUUUUUCUUCAAAAUUCACGCUUGCUAGCUAUUCUAAUACUCCAUCCGUCCCAAAUUGUAGGUCGUUUUAGCAUUUCUAGGUCAUGAAUCUAAAAAUCUAAAUUGACUUACAAUUUGGGACGGAUGGAGUAGUAUUUAACACAACACGAAUAUGAAAAAACACAAUAGUAUAGCAAAAGUACUAGUGCAUGACAUUAGAGGAGGAUGAGAAAUGCCAUUUGACGGGUUCAUAGACCUGGGGUCCCCAAUGAAUCCGCCUUUUCACAACGCUCGGCCCAACAGGCGGCGCAACGAUAAUGCGCGCCUGGGCCGGCCCUUAUACGCGACGGUAGGUCGUGACCACGAUCCGGCCACCGACCGGCGCUCCCGAUCAGGAGGCCUUGUUGGCGCCCCGACCAAGGGGCCUAGUCGAGGCUAGGGCCACAAUCCGACUCCGACCAAGCUCCCCCAAUCGGGGAUGUACCUCUGAUCGGACCGGCGCAUAUCGCUCCCUCGGUCGGACUGACCGGGACGACCGACUGGGGACACCCACUCGGCAUAGGCUUGGGGAGCAGGUGGAGCGGAUAAGGGAAGACGCUCAGGUCAACCGCCAUACAGAGGACUGUACCUCGCCACGCCCUGUGCACGCAACGCACAGUACCACCCUGCCAUGUCAGGUGGGCACUAUGCUACCUACCCGUCACGAUGGAGUGACCUGACGAGAUGAAUAGGGAUGGAGGGCGAUGGCCACCCCGUACCCGACAACGUGGGCACUAACAAGAUUAGGCAGCACCCAUGCACCUUUUCUCUCCCUCUCUCUGACUUGUAAGGCCGUCCCCUUGAACUAUAAAGGGGGCGCUCUCUCUCUCUCUCGAUCGAUCGAAGACUCUCUGACUCUCUCCAACACUUAGCGCACAUUUGAGCCCCUAUCACUCUCCUCCACUCGGACCAGAGCACGACCGAGCCUUGAACACCUCCUUCUCCACUCCUCACUCAUUUGUACCUCCGCUGCAAACUUUGAGCACCUAGACUCAGGAAUACAAUCGACCGACCGACCCCCGACUGGACGUAGGGCCCGUUGCCCGAACCAGUAUAAAUCCUGAGUUAUUGUGUGCUAGGUCAUAUCCGAUCAAACUACGUAUAUUUUCCAGUAACAUAUGUAGCAAUCAAGCAUAGUCUUCUAGGCUUGUUCACUUUUUGGUGCCAACCCGUUCAAACAGGCAAACCAGACCAUAGAAACUAGCUAUGCGAUUCCCACCGGGUUGGGCUAAACGAACCGCGGUUUGAAACCAGUCAACCCGCUGAGAAAGUACCUCGUUGAACUCAUCAGCAACCAAUGCAGCUACGGCACCGCCCCACAGCUAGCCUAGCAAGCGAAGCGGUAGAUGCUCAAGCUGCAGCGGCAAGAGUCUCUCAUAAAGCUCGCGACCCAUCACAUCCUGUAAAUUAGUGCAUGUUUUCUUCUAUUUUUUUUAUCUAUUCCUUUCUUUCGCUGCAUUGGCAACUAAGCAAGGUCGUCGAACAAGCAUGCAAGCAGAGCUGGACCUAGGAGGAUGGGCAUGCUGUCAUUUGUUUCUGCAGUGAGAUUGUUCCUGCCGUUGCCACCGAAGAUGCUAAGGUCGCCAGCCGUCUGUUAUCGGCGGCAUGACUUCGAUUUCCGACAUGGCGAACUCGUGGAGGCCGUACAAGCGCUGGUACUUCAAUUCCUUGCGAGAUAGAGAUCGUGGAUGUCGCCCUUCUUCGACUUCCCAUGGUGUAGACGUCGCGAUCUCGAGCGCUCGCGACGAUCUGCUUUAUCUCUGGUUCUAAACCGCAUAGCCCGUCAAACCAACCCGACUAACCCACAAACGUACGGUUUGGUUUAGUAAACCACCCUAAACCGCCGUUGAACAAGCCUACAUAGCCUUCCCGUGAAAAAGGCCAAAAAUACGCGCAUACGCCAUAUAACAGCUCAAAAUGAAUAAAUUAAAGCCAUCCAUUCCAACGGCUGAGCCGAGCAAUCCGCCGAUUGCUGAAUGCUAGUCUUGCUGUCAUGCAGAGCUAAUUGCACAGAACAAGCGAAUUCUAUCUAUAUAUCUGUAUAUACAACUGUACAAGUAUGGCAUGCAGAAGAAGGAUCGCUAGAUCCCAGCUACAAGCGGUGGCUGCCGGAGGAGCUUAAGCCGUCGUCGAAGUUCUGGGAGUAGCUGUGCAGGUCGUACCCGAACGUCACCGCGGCCUGCCGCCUCCGCCGCGCCGCGCGUCUCCUCAACGUGGACCUCAGCCUCGACAGCAACUUUGUCACCGCCGCCGCCGAUGACCGCCCGCCGCUCCUGGCGUGGACCCUCCUUUGGUUGCCGCCGGUGUACAGGCCCAUCACAGACGCCAUCCUCUCUUUCUUGUCUCUCGAUCGCGGCCGCGGAUCGCUCACAGAGCCACAGCCGCAGCGUUCUCACAAGGCACAAUCUGCCCGGCCUCUUUUGCUCCCUCCCUCAGUCCCUCGUAGCUACCUGCCCUGCCUACCUCUGAAGACCUUGUGCAA